AUUGAACGCUGGCGGCAGGCCUAACACAUGCAAGUCGAACGGAGUGGCGGACGGGUGAGUAACGCGUAGGUAACUGCCUCAGAGCGGGGGAUACAUAUGGGAAACGAUAGCUAAAACCGCAUACUGUGAGAUGUACCUGCGUUGUAUUAGCUAGUUGGUGAGUGAAAGGCUCACCAAGGCGACGAUACAUAGCCGACCUGAGAGGGUGAUCGUCCCCACUGGGACUGAGACACUGCCCAGACUCCUUCGGUAGGCAGCAGUAGGGAAUCUUCGGCAAUGGACGGAAGUCUUACCGAGCAACGGCGCGUGAGUGAAGGAGGUUUUCGGAUCUUAAAGCUCUGUUGUUAGAGAAGCGGUAACUAACCAGAAAGGGACGGCUAACUACGUGCCAGCAGCCGCGGUAAUUC
rnacentral:rRNA from 1 species